GUCUAGGCCACACCACCCUGAAGGCGCCAGAUCUUUUCUGAUCUCAGAAGCUAAGCAGGGUCGGCCCUGGUUAGUAUUUGGAUGGGAGAAAGGCCAUCUAGAAAUACAAACAAUAAACA
rnacentral:rRNA from 1 species